rnacentral:rRNA from 1 species
GGAUCCAGACUUUGAUCAUGGCUCAGGAUGAACGCUAGCUACAGGCCUAACACAUGCAAGUCGAGGGGAAACGGCAGCUUAGCUCGCUAAGCUGGACGUCGACCGGCGCACGGGUGAGUAACGCGUAUCCAACCUGCCCCACGGUGAGGGAUAACCCGCGGAAACGCGGCCUAAUACCUCAUGGUCUCCGAGUUUGCCAUCAACCUUGGAGUAAAUAUUCAUUGCCGUGGGAUGGGGAUGCGUCUGAUUAGCUUGUUGGCGGGGCAACGGCCCACCAAGGCAACGAUCAGUAGGGGUUCUGAGAGGAAAGCCCCCCACAUUGGAACUGAGACACGGUCCAAACUCCUACGGGAGGCAGCAGUGAGGAAUAUUGGUCAAUGGGCGAGAGCCUGAACCAGCCAAGUAGCGUGCAGGAAGACGGCCCUAUGGGUUGUAAACUGCUUUUAUGCGGGGAUAAAGCGGGCGACGUGUCGCCCCUUGCAGGUACCGCAUGAAUAAGGACCGGCUACUUCCGUGCCAGCAGCCGCGGUAAUACGGAAGGUCCGGGCGUUAUCCGGAUUUAUUGGGUUUAAAGGGAGCGCAGGCCGGGUAUUAAGCGUGUUGUGAAAUGUAGGCGCCCAACGUCUGCACCGCAGCGCGAACUGGUGCCCUUGAGUACGCACGACGUUGGCGGAAUUCGCCGUGUAGCGGUGAAAUGCUUAGAUAUGGCGAAGAACUCCGAUUGCGAAGGCAGCUGACGGGAGCGCUACUGACGCUCAUGCUCGAAAGCGCGGGUAUCGAACAGGAUUAGAUACCCUGGUAGUCCGCGCGGUAAACGAUGGAUGCCCGCUAUUUGCGCAUUAGCGCAAGUGGCCAAGUGAAAACGUUAAGCAUCCCACCUGGGGAGUACGCCGGCAACGGUGCAACUCAAAGGAAUUGACGG